rnacentral:lncRNA from 1 species
CAAAAUUGUAAGCGUUUGAGGUGAGGCAGCUUGAUUUUCAUGUCUUCUCCUCUGUUGGUGAGUGAGACUCAGUGGCUGCAAGAUCUGAAGCACCCUGGACUCUGCAGGUCCGGGCAGAGGUUCUUAGACAGUAGUCACAAGAAGAAAGUGGCAGGCUCAAGGCAUUACAAACAGAAGAUACAGGAGGUUCACAUGAAUAAGAGAGGCGUUGUACAACCACUGCACAAGAAGGAACUCAAACUUGACAGUGCUUGGGUCUCUGAGUUCUGUCCAUGGUGGAUACUAUUAUAGUUUGCAUCGAAAAUGUUCCCUAUGAGUCUUACACGCGUUCUCGCGACCGGCCAGGAAGAACGCAACAAACCGGAAUCUUCUGCGGCAAAAGCUUUA